rnacentral:rRNA from 1 species
GAUGAACGCUGGCGGCGUGCCUAAUACAUGCAAGUCGAGCGAACAGACGAGGAACUUGCUCCUCUGACGUUAGCGGCGGACGGGUGAGUAACACGUGGAUAACCUACCUAUGAGACUGGGAUAACUUUUGGAAACCGGAGCUAAUACCGGAUAAUAUCUUUAACCGCAUGUUUCAAUAGUGAAAGACGGUUUUGCUGUCACUUAUAGAUGUAUCCGCGCCGCAUUAGCUAGUUGGUAAGGUAACGGCUUACCAAGCCAACGAUGCGUGGCCGACCUGGGAGGGUGAUCGGCCACACUGGAACUGAGAACCGGUCCAGACUCCUACGGGAGGCAGCAGUAGGGAAUCUUCCGCAAUGGGCGAAAGCCUGACGGAGCAACGCCGCGUGAGUGAUGAAGGUCUUCGGAUCGUAAAACUCUGUUAUUAGGGAAGAACAAAUGUGUAAGUAACUAUGCACGUCUUGACGGUACCUAAUCAGAAAGCCACGGCUAACUACGUG